rnacentral:rRNA from 1 species
CUACGGGCGCGUGCUUAAACUCAGAGGACUUGGAGGCUUGCUUACUACUUAGGGGAAUAUGUGCCUUAAUCCGAUUAUCCCCGAAUAAUCUUACUGGGCCUUGAAAGAAUGCUGCCGAUGUAUUGCCCUUGACACCUUGUUGAUAUAGCAAACAGGAACCAGCUUAAUGGGACCGGAGCGAUUAGCUCGUUGGUUUCCGUGAAUUCUCGUCGAAAUAUCGCCAAUGGCUCAAGGGAGUAGGUGUUACAAUUUCUAUUUAAAACUACGGAUCUCUGUUUUGAAAUAUCCGGGUGAAGGUGAACUUACCACUAAGGGAGAAUUAAUAUGUCCCCCUGAACAUGUCUCUGACUUGUGUACAAACUGCCCGUCCCCCUCCCCGUGAGGUGAGGU